ACAAAAAUAUCCAAUUAGCAAGAGAAGGAGAGAUGGAAGUUGCUAAAAUACUUCACAUGAAUGGAGGAAUUGGAGACACAAGCUAUGCAAAAAACUCUAAGCUCCAGAAUUCCAUGAAGAUUUGAGGAGACAGAAUAUGGGAGAUGAUGGAAUAUUUGAUCCUAAUUGCUUUGAUCCAAGAGUCUGCACUUUGUUCACUCCUCUUACAGUCUCCACUGGCUUUCCAAAGUACAUAUGCGACUAGUGGCCUUGUGAGAGCAGAGGUGUGU